rnacentral:rRNA from 1 species
GACGAACGCUGGCGGCGUGCCUAAUACAUGCAAGUUGAGCGCUGAAGGUUGGUACUUGUACCAACUGGAUUAGCAGCGAACGGGUGGGUAACGCGUGGGGAAGCUGCCAUUUAGCGGGGGACAACAUUUGGAAACGAAUGCUAAUACCGCAUAAAAACUUCAAACACAAGAUUCAAGUUUGAUACAUGCAAUUGCAUCACUCAAAGAUCAUCCCGCGUUGUAUUAGCUAGUUGGGUAGGUAAAGGCCCAACAAGGCGAUGGUACAUAGUCGACCUGAGAGGGUGAUCGGGCAAAACGGGAACGGGACAAGGCCCAAACUCCUACGGGAGGGCGCAGGAGGGAAUUAUCGGAAAUUGAGGACAGUCUUAACGAGGAAAGACGGGGGAGUGAAGAAGGUUUUCGGAUCGUAAAACUCUGUUGGUAGAGAAGAAAGUUGGUGAGAGUGGAACGCUCAUCAAGUGACGGUACCUAAAGAGAAAGCGACGGCUAACUACGUG